GAAGGCAUGCAUGCAAGAGAGAAAGCUAAGGACAGAAGAGCUGUCAAUCAAUAGGAACAUUCCAUUUGGAAUGUUCCCGGGAAAACAGUUGGAGCUAAGGUAACAGCUAAACUGGACUGGACCCUUUGGCUUCUGACAGAAUGGUAGAGAAAAAGCUGUGGUUUCUGGCUUUUGGACUAAGUUUUGGCUGCUUGUAGCUGAUGGUGAAGACCUUUAAGCUUUUGCUGACUGACUGAGAUGUCUCUGGCUCUGAUUCUGACCAGGAUAGUGAUGAGUGGAAAGAUUAUUCUAACUCCUUUCAAAAAUAUCAUGAUUGCAACUCCUGCCUUCUUUCUAUAAGUUGAGGCCCAAUCAGUUUUACUCCAACCUCUAAUACUAAACAUGGGAAGAAUCUCUUAUCUGAGGACUCCAACUAAAACCAUGCCAAAAGCCACACAGAAGACCAGCAGAGCAUCAUCUAGCAAUGGUCACAUAAGAGAGAAAACAAUACCCAGCAGGAACGAGACUAUGGCCACAUUUAAGACAAGGUCAAUAUAUUUGGCAGAUAUUGAACACUUUACUAGGCUAGUGGGUAUCAGGCUCAACUGGAUAACUGUAAUCACAUGAUCAGAAGAGAAUUCAUGGUCCAACAAUAGCAGAGAUAUAAUUUUGUCUUCCAUGAAUGUACCCUGGCUUCAUGUUUUCUAUAUGUGUACCUUUCCUUGUAUGUGGGGUGGUUUUAUCUGCUUCAUACCUAUGUGCCUUUCUAUAAAUCAUGACUCUUCCAACUGAUGGUGUGUAUUUAUGAGAGAGUCUAUGCAAGGUUCAUGGAGGAAAUGUAUCAUUGUUUCUUAUUAGACUAUUUCAUUAAAUGCCUUUUCUUUGAACUAAUUAUCUUCUUUGAAUUUCAAAGGAAACUAGAUAUAUAUGUGGGGGCUUUUGAGCUAUAGUUUUUGAGUAGAUAAAGAAUUAUAUAAUACUUUGAAGACAGAGAUGGAUACAUUGUGGCACAAUCAAAUGUAAUAGAUUUUUUUUUAACAAUGGCAAUGUAAUGACCCAGGAUGAUUCUGAUGGACUUAUGAGAAAGAACACUAUCCACAUCCAGAGAAAGAAAUGUGGAAGCAGAAAUUCAGAAGAAAAACAUAUGAUCAAUCAUAUGGUUAAUGGGGAUAUGAUUA
rnacentral:lncRNA from 1 species